rnacentral:rRNA from 1 species
GAUGAACGCUGGCAGCGUGCCUAAUACAUGCAAGUCGAGCGAACAGAUGAGGAGCUUGCUCCUCUGACGUUAGCGGCGGACGGGUGAGUAACACGUGGAUAACCUACCUAUAAGACUGGGAUAACUUCGGGAAACCGGAGCUAAUACCGGAUAAUAUAUUGAACCGCAUGGUUCAAUAGUGAAAGACGGUUUUGCUGUCACUUAUAGAUGGAUCCGCGCCGCAUUAGCUAGUUGGUAAGGUAACGGCUUACCAAGGCAACGAUGCGUAGCCGACCUGAGAGGGUGAUCGGCCACACUGGAACUGAGACACGGUCCAGACUCCUACGGGAGGCAGCAGUAGGGAAUCUUCCGCAAUGGGCGAAAGCCUGACGGAGCAACGCCGCGUGAGUGAUGAAGGACUUCGGAUCGUAAAACUCUGUUAUUAGGGAAGAACAAAUGUGUAAGUAACUAUGCACGUCUUGACGGUACCUAAUCAGAAAGCCACGGCUAACUACGUG